rnacentral:lncRNA from 1 species
UCAAAGUCAUGAAAGAAUUCAUACUGGAGAGAAACCUUACAAAUGUAAUGAAUGUGGUAAAGCCUUUACACACCAUCAUAAUCUUCGAGAGCAUAAAAGAAUACACACUGGACAGAAACCCUAUUGAUGUAAGCAAUGUAGUAAAUCCUUUGCCUCUCAUGAUCAAGUUUGAAAACAUGAAAGAAUUUCAUACUGGAGAGAAACCUUACACAUGUAGAUAAUAUGGUAAAGCCUAUUCACAAUCAUCACCUCCAACUACAUAAAAGAACACUAAAGAGUAACCCUAUGAAUAUAACCAAUGUGGUAAAAGCCUUUACAGUGGUCUUGAAAGGUGUGAAUAUACUUGGUCUAUGGCAAGUGGCUGUAUUAGGAAGUAUGGCAUUUCUGGAGUAGAUGUGGCAUUUGAGAAAGUAUGUCAUGGUGGGGGUGGACUUUGAGAUUCUAUGCUUAAGCUCCACCCAGGGCAGCAGAGUCUUCUGGUUGCCUUCUGUUCAAGAUGUAGAACUCUUGUCUCCUCCAGCCCCAUGUCUGCUUGGGCACUGCCAUUUUUUUCAGCCUUGAUGAUAUCAGACUGAACCUCUGAAUCUGUACACUACCCCUAAUUAAAUGUCUUUUAU